GUAUAGCUCAAUUGGUAGAGCACAUGCUCAGUAUGCAAGAGGUCCUGGGUUCAAUCCUCAGUAC
rnacentral:tRNA from 1 species